UACGUAGGGUGCGAGCGUUAAUCGGAAUUACUGGACGUAAAGCGUGCGCAGGCGGUUUUGUAAGCCAGAUGUGAAAUCCCCGGGCUUAACCUGGGAAUGGCAUUUGGGACUGCAAGGCUUGAGUGCGGCAGAGGAGACUGGAAUUCCUGGUGUAGCAGUGAAAUGCGUAGAUAUCAGGAGGAAUACCGAUGGCGAAGGCGGCAUCCUGGACCGGCAUUGACGCUGAGGAGCGAAAGCCAGGGGAGCAAACGGG
rnacentral:rRNA from 1 species